rnacentral:misc_RNA from 1 species
AAGUCGUAACAAGGUUUCCGUAGGUGAACCUGCGGAAGGAUCAUUAACACGUAUCCAAACGUUAAACCCCCCUGUGAUCCUUCAGUCGUACUCGUACGUCCGUUAGAAAAAGCAACAAUCCCUGGUAAAUCAUCGCCGAACAGUUUUCGAUUCAGGGACGUCUGCAAGGAGCGUGCCUGGCAUCCGAACGCCGAAACCGAACAACUGUUAACAAUGGAUAUCUUGGUUCUC